UACGUAGGGAGCAAGCGUUGUCCGGAAUCAUUGGGCGUAAAGCGCGCGCAGGCGGCCCUGUAAGUCCGUUGUGAAAGUCAAAGGCUCAACCUUUGAAAGCCGAUGGAUACUGCAGGGCUAGAGACCGGAAGAGGAGAGUGGAAUUCCCGGUGUAGCGGUGAAAUGCGUAGAUAUUCGCAAGAACACCAGUGGCGAAGGCGGCUCACUGGCCCGAUACUGACGCUGAGGCACGAAAGCGUGGGGAGCAAACAGG
rnacentral:rRNA from 1 species